rnacentral:rRNA from 1 species
CAAUAAGCGGAGGAAAAGAAACCAACAGGGAUUGCCCCAGUAACGGCGAGUGAAGCGGCAACAGCUCAAAUUUGAAAUCUGGCCCCAGGCCCGAGUUGUAAUUUGCAGAGGAUGCUUUUGGCGCGGUGCCUUCCGAGUUCCCUGGAACGGGACGCCAUAGAGGGUGAGAGCCCCGUACGGUUGGACACCAAGCCUCUGUAAAGCUCCUUCGACGAGUCGAGUAGUUUGGGAAUGCUGCUCAAAAUGGGAGGUAUAUUUCUUCUAAAGCUAAAUAUUGGCCAGAGACCGAUAGCGCACAAGUAGAGUGAUCGAAAGAUGAAAAGCACUUUGAAAAGAGGGUUAAACAGCACGUGAAAUUGUUAAAAGGGAAGCGCUUGUGACCAGACUUGCGCCCGGUGAAUCACCCAGCUCUCGCGGCUGGGGCACUUCGCCGGCACAGGCCAGCAUCAGCUCGCCGUCGGGGACAAAAGCUUGGGGAACGUAGCUCUCUUCGGGGAGUGUUAUAGCCCCUUGCAUAAUACCCUUCGGCGGGCUGAGGUACGCGUUCGCAAGGAUGCUGGCGUAAUGG